rnacentral:rRNA from 1 species
AUUGAACGCUGGCGGCAUGCCUUACACAUGCAAGUCGAACGGCAGCACGGGUGCUUGCACCUGGUGGCGAGUGGCGAACGGGUGAGUAAUACAUCGGAACAUGUCCUGUAGUGGGGGAUAGCCCGGCGAAAGCCGGAUUAAUACCGCAUACGAUCUACGGAUGAAAGCGGGGGACCUUCGGGCCUCGCGCUAUAGGGUUGGCCGAUGGCUGAUUAGCUAGUUGGUGGGGUAAAGGCCUACCAAGGCGACGAUCAGUAGCUGGUCUGAGAGGACGACCAGCCACACUGGGACUGAGACACGGCCCAGACUCCUACGGGAGGCAGCAGUGGGGAAUUUUGGACAAUGGGCGAAAGCCUGAUCCAGCAAUGCCGCGUGUGUGAAGAAGGCCUUCGGGUUGUAAAGCACUUUUGUCCGGAAAGAAGUCCUUGGCCCUAAUACGGUCGGGGGAUGACGGUACCGGAAGAAUAAGCACCGGCUAACUACGUG